ACGUAGGAUCCAAGCGUUAUCCGGAUUUACUGGGCGUAAAGAGUUGCGUAGGUGGCAGAGUAAGUAAACAGUGAAAUCGUGUGGCUCAACCAUACUCACAUUGUUUAAACUGCUCAGCUUGAAGAUGAGAGAGGUCACUGGAAUUCCUUGUGUAGGAGUGAAAUCCGUAGAUAUAAGGAGGAACACCGAUGGCGUAGGCAGGUGACUGGCUCACUCUUGACACUAAGGCACGAAAGCGUGGGGAGCAAACGGGA
rnacentral:rRNA from 1 species